rnacentral:rRNA from 1 species
AGCACGUUAUGGGUGGCACCCUAAGGAGACUGCCGGUGACAAACCGGAGGAAGGUGGGGAUGACGUCAAGUCAUCAUGGCCCUUACGGCCUGGGCUACACACGUGCUACAAUGGUCGGUACAAAGGGUUGCCAAGCCGCGAGGUGGAGCUAAUCCCAUAAAACCGAUCGUAGUCCGGAUCGCAGUCUGCAACUCGACUGCGUGAAGUCGGAAUCGCUAGUAAUCGUGAAUCAGAAUGUCACGGUGAAUACGUUCCCGGGCCUU